UGGCAGCUAGAUCGGCAGCCUCCGCGGAGGCGGCUCCACGCGUGCUUUACGGCCCAGCCGACGGAGCACGACACGACAGUGUCGCAAAGACAGGCACAAAAGCCUCCAUUACCUCUAUGACCAAGUUUCCGCAUGCACUUGGUGGCCUCCACCCUGUGAUGUCUGCGCUAGUGGGCGGGAAUUCGCUCCGUGGGCGGUUCCGGGCGCCGGCCAGUCAAAGCUUGGGAUGAAAUACUCAGGAUUGAAGCCCAGUGUGCUGAAUGGCUUCAGUUGUCAACUUGAUACACCUGGGUGUGGGAAACCUCAAUUGAAGAAUUUCCUCCAUUGGACUGGUCUGUGGCCAUGUCUGUGGGGCAUUUUCUUGAUUAUUGAGUGAUGAGUGGUGUCAUCCCUGGGCAGGUGGUCCUGUAUUGUAUAAGAAAGUAGGUUGAACAUGAGCCAGAGAAACAAGCCAGCAUUCCUCCAUGGUCUGUACUUCAGUUCCUGCCCUGAGCUCCUGCUCUGGUUUUCCUCCACGAUGAAGCUGAAGGUCCAGCUUUGAACACGGCUUCAACUGGAGGCGCCAGACACAAAGUGCAGUGGAGCCUUUCCCAGCUGUCUCUCAGAAACCAGGAGAUAAUAAAUGGGUGUUGUGGCACAGUGUUGCUGAGUUUUGAGAUGCUUGUUAUGCAGGAAUAGCAGUUGGAAGAGUUUCUCAAAUUGUUGUCAUCUAUAAAUUGUGGCCCACCAAAAUGAGAGAAUCGACAAGGAAAAGAAAAACAAUAGGGCCGGCUGUGGUGGCGCACACCUUUAA